AUUGAACGCUGGCGGCAUGCCUUACACAUGCAAGUCGAACGGCAGCACGGGUGCUUGCACCUGGUGGCGAGUGGCGAACGGGUGAGUAAUACAUCGGAACAUGUCCUGUAGUGGGGGAUAGCCCGGCGAAAGCCGGAUUAAUACCGCAUACGAUCCACGGAUGAAAGCGGGGGACCUUCGGGCCUCGCGCUAUAGGGUUGGCCGAUGGCUGUUUAGCUAGUUGGUGGGGUAAAGGCCUACCAAGGCGACGAUCAGUAGCUGGUCUGAGAGGACGACCAGCCACACUGGGACUGAGACACGGCCCAGACUCCUACGGGAGGCAGCAGUGGGGAAUUUUGGACAAUGGGCGAAAGCCUGAUCCAGCAAUGCCGCGUGUGUGAAGAAGGCCUUCGGGUUGUAAAGCACUUUUGUUCGGAAAGAAAUCCUUGACUCUAAUACAGUCGGGGGAUGACGGUACCGGAAGAAUAAGCACCGGCUAACUACGUG
rnacentral:rRNA from 1 species